rnacentral:tRNA from 2 species
UGCGGGGUGGAGCAGCCUGGUAGCUCGUCGGGCUCAUAACCCGAAGGUCGGAGGUUCAAAUCCUCCCCCCGCUA